rnacentral:rRNA from 1 species
UUGUCUCAAAGAUUAAGCCAUGCAUGUCUCAGUACAUACCGAAAUAAGGUGAAACCGCGAAAGGCUCAUUAAAUCAGUUAUGGUUCAUUAGAUCGUACCCACAUUUACUUGGAUAACUGUGGUAAUUCUAGAGCUAAUACAUGCAUACAGAGCUCUGACUGGAGACGGAAGGAGCGCUAUUAUUAGAUCAAAACCAAUCGGUGUUCCGACCUCCUAGCGUGGUCGGUCAUCGUAAUUUAUGACGAAUCUGAAUAAACGACGCUGAUCGCACGGUCUAGCACCGGCGACGCAUCUUUCAAAUGUCUGCCUUAUCAACUUUCGAUGGUAGGUUCUGCGCCUACCAUGGUUGUAACGGGUAACGGGGAAUCAGGGUUCGAUUCCGGAGAGGGAGCCUGAGAAACGGCUACCACAUCCAAGGAAGGCAGCAGGCGCGCAAAUUACCCACUCCCGGCACGGGGAGGUAGUGACGAAAAAUAACGAUACGGGACUCAUCCGAGGCCCCGUAAUCGGAAUGAGUACACUAUAAAUCCUUUAACGAGGAUCAAUUGGAGGGCAAGUCUGGUGCCAGCAGCCGCGGUAAUUCCAGCUCCAAUAGCGUAUAUUAAAGUUGUUGCGGUUAAAAAGCUCGUAGUCGAAUUUGUGUCCCGCGCCGCCGGUUCAUCGCUCGCGGUGUUUAACUGGCGUGUUCGCGGGACGUCCUGCCGGUGGGCGUCGGCGCGCGAAGUCGUAAGCGUCGUCGUCAGCGGUUCGCCCUAAAAAGCGUUUCCGCGCGACACGCCCGGCCCGCGCGCGGCCCAACUUUAAAUCCCACCGCGGUGCUCUUCACUGAGUGUCGAGGUGGGCCGGCACGUUUACUUUGAACAAAUUAGAGUGCUUAAAGCAGGCCAAAAAUUCGCCUGAAUAUUCUGUGCAUGGAAUAAUGGAAUAGGACCUCGGUUCUAUUUUGUUGGUUUUCGGAACCCCGAGGUAAUGAUUAAUAGGAACGGAUGGGGGCAUUCGUAUUGCGACGUUAGAGGUGAAAUUCUUGGAUCGUCGCAAGACGGACAGAAGCGAAAGCAUUUGCCAAAAACGCUUUCAUUGAUCAAGAACGAAAGUUAGAGGUUCGAAGGCGAUCAGAUACCGCCCUAGUUCUAACCAUAAACGAUGCCAGCUAGCGAUCCGCCGACGUUCCUCCGAUGACUCGGCGGGCAGCUUCCGGGAAACCAAAGCUUUUGGGUUCCGGGGGAAGUAUGGUUGCAAAGCUGAAACUUAAAGGAAUUGACGGAAGGGCACCACCAGGAGUGGAGCCUGCGGCUUAAUUUGACUCAACACGGGAAACCUCACCAGGCCCGGACACCGGGAGGAUUGACAGAUUGAGAGCUCUUUCUUGAUUCGGUGGGUGGUGGUGCAUGGCCGUUCUUAGUUGGUGGAGCGAUUUGUCUGGUUAAUUCCGAUAACGAACGAGACUCUAGCCUGCUAAAUAGGCGUACUUUCGACAUCCCAAAGGCCCGUCGUCCGGUAGCGCCGCUCGCGCCUCGCGCGCGACGUCGCCCGGGCGUUCGCGGUUUUUACUGUCGGCGUACAAUUUAUUYUUYUUAGAGGGACAGGCGGCUUCUAGCCGCACGAGACUGAGCAAUAACAGGUCUGUGAUGCCCUUAGAUGUUUUGGGCCGCACGCGCGCUACACUGAAGGAAUCAGCGUGUCUUCCCUGGCCGAACGGCCCGGGUAACCCGCUGAACCUCCUUCGUGCUAGGGAUUGGGGCUUGCAAUUUUUCCCCAUGAACGAGGAAUUCCCAGUAAGCGCGAGUCAUAAGCUCGCGUUGAUUACGUCCCUGCCCUUUGUACACACCGCCCGUCGCUACUACCGAUUGAAUGAUUUAGUGAGGUUUUCGGAAUGGUACUCGAUGGCGUUUCGACGUCGCCGAUGUUGCCGGGAAGAUGACCAAACUUGAUCAUUU